ensembl:lncRNA
GGGGAUGAUGCGGGGGUGGGAAGGACGCGCUGCUGUGUGUGCGGGUGUCCGUGUGUCCGUCCGUCUGAGCGCAGCCCCGUGCUGAGAGCUCGCUGGUGGGUAGGGGCGGGGGGGCCGGUCCCAGACAGUGACCUGCAGCUGAGUGGAAGCAGGCUUUUUCCAUCAAACUCUGCCUGGAUACCACACACAGAGCCCAAGUGUCAGUUUACUGCCCUGAGCCCGGCUCCUUUUCCCUAAGCUCCGCAGUAAUUAGACAAAGAAAACCUAAAUUAACUGAACAGGCGUCGACAGCUUCCUCCAGAUCGCCGCUGCUCCGUACAUGGGAAUGCGUCCGAAAAUGGCUCGGUGGUACCUGAGAGUGGGAUAAGGGACCACGGCGGGUCCGGCGAGGUUUAAUACACAUUGUUCAUAGAAAAUAACCAUAAAAAAAAAGACGGAUCGCUCGGCGCGCACCUUUCCCGAAGCAUCCGUUUAAACUUUUCCCGUCGCAAAUUAAAAACGAACGAACGAACGAACGAACAGAGCAGAUAUGUUUUAUUUCUUUCCUUCCUGGAGGGGUGGGGAGGCCGACGCGCAGCCCCCGAACCCUCUGCAAGGAGAGAUCCGCGGUGCUUUGAGACGAGCCGUGCUUCGGUGCGUCCCCACCGUCCCCUCUCCGCUCCUCCGGCCGCGGCUGUCCCCGCGAGUGCCGCCCCCCGGGGGGGAUACGCCGCCUAUAAGGGCCCCAACUGCCCCCGUUUUGGGCCGCCUCGUCGGGUCGGAGAGGGGCGACGACUUCUGGGGCAGAUGUCACCGCGAAGGGCCGCUCCCUCGUUUUCUCUUCGGUGCAAAGCAGAGGGGGACGCGGGGUUUCGGAGGUGCUUUGGAGCCCAGAGGUCGAACAGCAGAGAGUUCGCCGUUUGGUGCUGGAGGAAAUCUCUUCAUUAUUGCGGUUUCAGUUUUGCGUUCAGACCGCGGUCCUCUCUGCUUCGGGGCUGAAUGAAACAACGGAGACCAAACCCGCUGAGAAAAUGAGAGAGAAAUAAGAAAGAUAAACGUUUACGGCUAUCUGGGAGCGCUCGCUUUUAUUUUUCAUUAAUAUAUAUAUAUAUAUAUAUACAGCUAUUGUUUCUCCUCCCCUUCCCCCUUUUUAACAUCAGUCUCUGAGGCGUUUUUUCAAUUAAAUCCAAGCCCGAAACUCCAACAGAUCCCCCCCACCUCUCCCUCCUCCCAACGCUGUACAAGUGCUUAACCUUAAGCACCGGCGGAUUUCCCCCCCCCUCCCCUCUGUCCGUGUCGGGGUGCUGCAGCUCAUCCCGCACAGCGGCUGCCCGAGGGCCCUCCCGUACGGGGGCAUUUCCCCUCACGGAGAGUGGUGGGGGGGGGGGGUGGGGGGGCAGCGCCCGCAGCCCAGCGCCCACCGGAGGGUGUCACAGAGGCCUGGAUGGGGAAUGGGCUCGCGGCACUGUGCUGCUCCGGGACCUUCUGACUCUCUGGGAGUGACGCUUUCCAUAGCUGAAUCCCCGAAGGUUGCCACCCGGGGGUUGGCCACACAGGUUGGGCUGCCUGCCCGUGGGGGUACCUUGGGUUAUGUUUUAGCAGUGCUUGACUUGCGGAUGAGGGAAGCUCAGCCCGGGUCGUGAAGGCUGAGGCUGUGGGUUAGUGGGAUGGUACCGUUCUCUCUCUUGCCCGCUGCGCGGCUCCCCGGCCCGGGGCGGCUUUGUUCAGAGCCUGAGGAAGGAGAGUUAACAGCGUUAGGGCUCUCAGCCAGCCGCGAGGGCAGCACCCAUCGCUCUCGGAGCAGUGUUUUUCAGCGGGUGACACGAGAGGUGCCACCCGAUGCCCCGGCAGCACGAAGACAUCCUCCCCAUGGGCCCGGUUCUGCCUCCACCGCCCCCAUCACCGCAUCCCUUCGUGGCUCGGAGCCGUGGCCGAGGAACACCCGAAGGCCCCCGGGCAGCGGCCCUCGGGGGUAACAGAGGAGAGCUGAGGGCAGCGGAGCGCUGCCCGGACAAUAAUAGCUCAGGUUUGGGGUUUUGUGUCCCCCCCGAGUGCUUCCACCGAGUGUUUGGGGAAUGGGGGGGGGGGGGGGGGGAGAGAGGGGGACUUUGCUUUUCCUACACCAGAUGCCAGCGUUAAAGAUGUUGUCCUCUCCCGGUUCUGCACUUCCCGGAGCAUCAAAAUAAGCCCCCCGCAGAGGUCAGGAUAUAGGUCACCUCUUUUAAAGGAAACGCUGCCCUUCCAAAAAUAUAAGACGUCUUUGACGUAGGAAAAAAGAAAAAAAAGCGAGUGAGAAAAGACAAAAAAAAAAUGCUCUUUUGUCUUCGAGCAUCCUCUGUGUCCGUAAAUAAAACGGGACGGGCGCGGGGUGAAACGAGCAGAAAGUUACGGGGUGAGCGCAGGUACGGAGCUCUACGCCCCCUCAAGGGGUUGCGGGAACGCCGCACGGCCCCUCCGGACCCGGAGGCGAAGGUGACCCCAAAGAAGGCACGGGGUUGCGGGGCUGCGGGAGAGCGCAUCCCGCGUCGGAGGGGGCUCCGUCGGGGCACGUCCGCGGGUG